UACGUAGGGGGCAAGCGUUGUCCGGAAUCAUUGGGCGUAAAGAGCGCGUAGGCGGCCCAGUAAGUCCGCUCUGAAAGUCAGAGGCUCAACCUCUGAAUGCGGGUGGAUACUGCUGGGCUAGAGUCCGGAAGAGGCGAGUGGAAUUCCUGGUGUAGCGGUGAAAUGCGUAGAUAUCAGGAGGAACACCUGCGGUGUAGACGGCUUACUGGACCAUCACUGACGCUGAGGCACGAAAGCGUGGGUAGCAAACAGG
rnacentral:rRNA from 1 species